AUUGAACGCUGGUGGCAGGCUUAACACAUGCAAGUCGAGCGGGGAAGGGUAGCUUGCUACCUAACCUAGCGGCGGACGGGUGAGUAAUGCUUAGGAAUCUGCCAUUUAGUGGGGGACAACAUUCCGAAAGGAAUGCUAAUACCGCAUACGUCCUACGGGAGAAAGCAGGGGAUCUUCGGACCUUGCGCUAAAUGAUGAGCCUAAGUCGGAUUAGCUAGUUGGUGGGGUAAAGGCCUACCAAGGCGACGAUCUGUAGCGGGUCUGAGAGGAUGAUCCGCCACACUGGGACUGAAACACGGCCCAGACUCCUACGGGAGGCAGCAGUGGGGAAUAUUGGACAAUGGGCGGAAGCCUGAUCCAGCCAUGCCGCGUGUGUGAAGAAGGCCUUAUGGUUGUAAAGCACUUUAAGCGAGGAGGAGGCUACUUAGAUUAAUACUCUAGGAUAGUGGACGUUACUCGCAGAAUAAGCACCGGCUAACUCUGUGCCAGCCGCCGCUGUAAAAC
rnacentral:rRNA from 1 species